UUCACCACGCCUUUUAAUUACUUUUUGGAACGAGGGACCAGCGGCAGGCCCAACUUGAGGACAUGAUCAAGGAAAUAAGGUAUUGCAACUACAUAGGUUGUAAAAUAAGACCAAAGAGAGCAGAUCUUAAAAGAACUUUCCAGACCCAAGUUGGCCAUGGUCUUCGUAUAUUUUGCGCCUAAGAUCGAGCCCAGCAUCCUCACAAACUCUUUAUUUGAACACUAUCUGUAUUAAAUUAAAGCAGAACUUUAUAAGAGGGAACACAUAAAGGAAAAACACUAUUGGGCUCGAAAUUGAGCCCAACACAAGAGAGGACAGGAACUGGUAACCCUAGGCCUCUUGACGGGUUGGCGAACUUAUGGGGCCAAAAUCAAGCCCACAUAUUUUAACAAGAAGGCUCCUCGUGAUAAGGUCAUAGUUGAAACUCAUAUCUCUUUCAAUUCACAAAUAGUAAGAAAAAACUAUAUAAAAUUAUGGGAAAUUAAACAUGCAUGGAUAAUCAGAUUAUGGACUUCUAAUACAUUGACAUGCCUUUAAUAAUGAGUCAUAAGCUUAAAACAUGCCUUAAACUACUCAGAAAUCAUAUUGAUAUCAAAUACAUGAUCCAUUUAGCAAUGCAGAAAUCAAAGGCCAUCAAACUGAAGGCUUUCAACAACCAUGCAAUGCAUCUUUCAAAAAUGUGUGAGAUACUACCCAAUAUCCUCUAAUAAACAUCCAAAUGGAGCUAUUAUGAACAAUACAUGAAAAGGUGGACUAAAUUAAACAUUCAUACACAAAAUUUCCAACUAAAACUGUUGACUAUCAUCCAAAUCAGAAAUAGGUAACCAAAAAUAACAAACUAAGAAUACAAAAUACUAAACAACUUGAAAGAAUCAAAUGAAAAAUAAAACUGAAAUUUAAUCAUUUGAAUAUCAACGUCCAUUUACAUUUGCACAUCGACUCAAUAUUACGGGUAUAUCUCUUGACGAAGAACAUACGUGCACUUCAAUAGCCAAUCAAAGUUCAAAGAAAUAUUUGGUUAUUGAAAAAGAACAAAGAGAGAAGGUGAUAUAACAAGAAGAACAACAAAAGAAAAUAAAAUUGUAUCUCAAUAAUGAAUGAUAGAAAUCAUACAACUCAAAUUUAAUCCAUGUGUUUGAUUUAUCAAAACUAGAGAUUCCCAAAAAUUACUCAAACUCUUCUCCUCUUUCAGAUCAGAAUUUUAAUCUUAAUGGAAGAGUAAAGCUACCGUUUAGGGUGGGUUUCUAGGUAUGAAAAUAUCUGCCUUAGAAAUCAGGAAAAUGAGCUUCUUAUAGGAGGGUUUAAGGCAGCAUAACUUGAUUCUUAUAUAUUCAUUUUUAACCUUAAAAUUUGAUCUUUUACUUCUCUAGAUCUCAAAACAGUUAAGCUGUAUUUUUUCAUUUACAUCAAACCCCCUCAUUAUCUUCUAGAAUCUUUUGUUGUAAUAAUAGAAAUAUUCCUCCACCUAAAAACCCCAAACAAACCCUGGCAACCCUGCAUUUACUUUCCAAACUAGUACCAAAUUGGGCCAUCUGACCCAAAACUCAAACCCAAACUAGUAGGCUUACUUCUACCCAGGCAAGAAAUAAUUAAAGCCCAAGAGAGACCUAACAUUAAAAUCGAAUGAAAUAACAAAAUUAAACAAAUUUUAAGACCUUAAGACUAGCUGGCUCAUUAACAAAACCAAAAGUCAAAUUGAUCAAUCAAAGCUGUAAUUGACCGUGAACCUAAGCAUGCCAAAAAUGAUCUAACAAUUAACAAGUUUAAAAAAGAAUGAAUACAACCGGCUUGUUAAGUGUUCUAUCCUAUCAUGCAAAUAAAAAUAAAUUGAGAAUAAAAGACAUAAAGAAAUAAAAGAAAAGGGAAAAUAAGAAACAAUAAAAAUGGAAACAAAUGAGAAAAGGUUAGGGAUUACUAAUUUAAUCAACAAGACGACCAAAACAAACAAAGGCAGAAGAAUGGCUUCGAAAUGGCUUGAAGCUGACCCAAAUGCCUGCUCCAAUCGAGAGUAAUCUAUUUGGGAAACCUCCAACCAAACAAGAAAAAACUUCAACGAAAAUCCUCCAAACUCAAGAACUAGGUUAGAUUUAGAUAUGGCUUUUAACGAGUUCAAGGGAUUACUUGGGGAAAUUGUUAGGGAAAUUGGAUUUAGGUAGGCCUGAUGAUUAUACGGUUUGGAAUUGGAAUCGAUGGGGUUGUACUGCCAGUCGGUGAAGGUGAGGAUUCAGGGGCGGCAAGGUUUUAGAGAAUGCGGAAGGGGAUGAAGAUGUGGGAGGGUCUCAAAGGUUGGAAUGGGUUCAGACAUAUAUAAACAAGGGAAGCAUGUUAGUUCCCAUCCGUUUGAUCACACAAGAUCAAUGGUUGGGAUUAAAUGAGGAAGAAAUGGGGUCGUCUGGCUUUUGUGGGGUGGUCUAGACCGGGUACAGGUAAUGGGUUUGAAUAUUGAUGAUAGGUAAAUUAGACUGUAAUUAGGACCUAAAGAACCAAAUUUUUAUAACUAUUACGGUAAAAAGUGACAACAAAAUGCUCUGAUUAGUGCUUUUCAUGCUUUCUAGGUUAUAUCUAAUAAAA
rnacentral:lncRNA from 1 species